rnacentral:rRNA from 1 species
GAUGAACGCUGGCGGCGUGCUUAACACAUGCAAGUCGAGCGAGUGAGUUCUUCGGAACGAUCUAGCGGCGGACGGGUGAGUAACACGUGGGCAACCUACCUCAUAGAGGGGAAUAGCCUCCCGAAAGGGAGAUUAAUACCGCAUAAAAUUAUCGUGUGGCAUCACAUGAUAAUCAAAGGGGCAAUCCGCUAUGAGAUGGGCCCGCGGCGCAUUAGCUAGUUGGUGAGGUAACGGCUCACCAAGGCGACGAUGCGUAGCCGACCUGAGAGGGUGAUCGGCCACAUUGGGACUGAGACACGGCCCAGACUCCUACGGGAGGCAGCAGUGGGGAAUAUUGCACAAUGGGGGAAACCCUGAUGCAGCAACGCCGCGUGAGUGAUGAAGGUCUUCGGAUUGUAAAGCUCUGUCUUUGGGGACGAUAAUGACGGUACCCAAGGAGGAAGCCACGGCUAACUACGUGCCAGCAGCCGCAGUAA